rnacentral:rRNA from 1 species
AGCGAACGCUGGCGGCAGGCUUAACACAUGCAAGUCGAGCGCCCCGCAAGGGGAGCGGCAGACGGGUGAGUAACACGUGGGAACGUACCCUUUGGUUCGGAACAACCCAGGGAAACUUGGGCUAAUACCGGAUAAGUCCGCGAGGAGAAAGAUUUAUCGCCGAAGGAUCGGCCCGCGUCUGAUUAGCUAGUUGGUGUGGUAACGGCGCACCAAGGCGACGAUCAGUAGCUGGUCUGAGAGGAUGAUCAGCCACACUGGGACUGGGACACGGCCCAGACUCCUACGGGAUGCAGCAGUGGGGAAUAUUGGACAAUGGGGGCAACCAUGAUGCAGCCAUGCCGGGUGAGUGAUGAAGGCCCUAGGGUUGUAAAGCUAUUUCGGUGGGGAAGAUAAUGACGGUACCCACAGAAGAAGCCCCGGCUAACUUCGUG